AUUGAACGCUGGCGGCAUGCCUUACACAUGCAAGUCGAACGGUAACAGGUCUUCGGAUGCUGACGAGUGGCGAACGGGUGAGUAAUACAUCGGAACGUGCCUAGUAGUGGGGGAUAACUACUCGAAAGAGUGGCUAAUACCGCAUGAGAUCUACGGAUGAAAGCAGGGGAUCGCAAGACCUUGUGCUACUAGAGCGGCCGAUGGCAGAUUAGGUAGUUGGUGGGAUAAAAGCUUACCAAGCCGACGAUCUGUAGCUGGUCUGAGAGGACGAUCAGCAACACUGGGACUGAGCCACGGCCCAGACUCCUACGGGAGGCAGCAGGGGGGAAUUUUGGACAAUGGGCGAAAGCCUGAUCCAGCAAUGCCGCGUGCAGGAUGAAGGCCUUCGGGUUGUAAACUGCUUUUGUACGGAACGAAAAGCCCUGGGUUAAUACCCUGGGGUCAUGACGGUACCGUAAGAAUAAGCACCGGCUAACUACGUGCCAGCAGCCGCCGUAA
rnacentral:rRNA from 1 species